rnacentral:rRNA from 1 species
GACGAACGCUGGCGGCGUGCUUAACACAUGCAAGUCGAACGGAAAGGCCCUGCUUUUGUGGGGUGCUCGAGUGGCGAACGGGUGAGUAACACGUGAGUAACCUGCCCUUGACUUUGGGAUAACUUCAGGAAACUGGGGCUAAUACCGGAUAGGAGCUCCUGCUGCAUGGUGGGGGUUGGAAAGUUUCGGCGGUUGGGGAUGGACUCGCGGCUUAUCAGCUUGUUGGUGGGGUAGUGGCUUACCAAGGCGUUGACGGGUAGCCGGCCUGAGAGGGUGACCGGCCACAUUGGGACUGAGAUACGGCCCGGACUCCUACGGGAGGCAGGAGUGGGGGAUAGUGCACGAUGGGCGGAAGCCGGAUGCAGCAACGCCGCGUGCGGGAUGACGGCCUUCGGGUUGUAACCCGUGUGCGCCUGUGACGAAGCGUGAGUGACGGUAAUGUAUAAAGAAGCACCGGCUAACUACGUG